rnacentral:rRNA from 1 species
UGCAAGUCGAACGGUAACAGGGAGCUUGCUCCGCUGACGAGUGGCGAACGGGUGAGUAAUAUAUCGGAACGUACCCAAGAGUGGGGGAUAACGUAGCGAAAGUUACGCUAAUACCGCAUACGAUCUAUGGAUGAAAGCAGGGGACCUUCGGGCCUUGUGCUCCUGGAGCGGCCGAUAUCUGAUUAGCUAGUUGGUGAGGUAAAGGCUCACCAAGGCGACGAUCAGUAGCUGGUCUGAGAGGACGACCAGCCACACUGGAACUGAGACACGGUCCAGACUCCUACGGGAGGCAGCAGUGGGGAAUUUUGGACAAUGGGCGCAAGCCUGAUCCAGCAAUGCCGCGUGAGUGAAGAAGGCCUUCGGGUUGUAAAGCUCUUUUGUCAGGGAAGAAACGGCUGUGGCUAAUAUCCACGGCUAAUGACGGUACCUGAAGAAUAAGCACCGGCUAACUACGUGCCAGCAGCCGCGGUAAUACGUAGGGUGCAAGCGUUAAUCGGAAUUACUGGGCGUAAAGCGUGCGCAGGCGGUUUUGUAAGUCUGUCGUGAAAUCCCCGGGCUCAACCUGGGAAUUGCGAUGGAGACUGCAAGGCUAGAAUCUGGCAGAGGGGGGUAGAAUUCCACGUGUAGCAGUGAAAUGCGUAGAGAUGUGGAGGAACACCGAUGGCGAAGGCAGCCCCCUGGGUCAAGAUUGACGCUCAUGCACGAAAGCGUGGGGAGCAAACAGGAUUAGAUACCCUGGUAGUCCACGCCCUAAACGAUGUCUACUAGUUGUCGGGUUUUAAUUAACUUGGUAACGCAGCUAACGCGUGAAGUAGACCGCCUGGGGAGUACGGUCGCAAGAUUAAAACUCAAAGGAAUUGACGGGGACCCGCACAAGCGGUGGAUGAUGUGGAUUAAUUCGAUGCAACGCGAAAAACCUUACCUACCCUUGACAUGUCAGGAAGACCGAAGAGAUUUGGUUGUGCCCGAAAGGGAACCUGAACACAGGUGCUGCAUGGCUGUCGUCAGCUCGUGUCGUGAGAUGUUGGGUUAAGUCCCGCAACGAGCGCAACCCUUGUCAUUAGUUGCUACGCAAGAGCACUCUAAUGAGACUGCCGGUGACAAACCGGAGGAAGGUGGGGAUGACGUCAAGUCCUCAUGGCCCUUAUGGGUAGGGCUUCACACGUCAUACAAUGGUACAUACAGAGGGCCGCCAACCCGCGAGGGGGAGCUAAUCCCA